rnacentral:rRNA from 1 species
AAGUAAAAGUCGUAACAAGGUUUCCGUAGGUGAACCUGCGGAAGGAUCAUUAACGAGUUUUGAAGGGGUUGUAGCUGGUCCUCCGGGACAUGUGCACGCCUCGCUCAUCCACUCUACACCUGUGAACCAACUGUAGGCCGGUCGAGGCUCUGGGUUUACACCCGGGGUUGAAGCCUGCCUAUGUAUCAUUACAAACCCUAAAGUAACAGAAUGUAAACCGCGAUAAUACGCAUUAUAAUACAACUUUCAGCAACGGAUCUCUUGGCUCUCGCAUCGAUGAAGAACGCAGCGAAAUGCGAUAAGUAAUGUGAAUUGCAGAAUUCAGUGAAUCAUCGAAUCUUUGAACGCACCUUGCGCCCCUGGGUAUUCCCAGGAGCAUGCCUGUUUGAGUGUCGUGGAAUUCUCAAUCCCCUCUUCCUUGUGAAAUGGGGCUUGGAUUUGGAGGCUUUGCCGGCGCUCAGCGUGGGCUCCUCUCGAAUGCAUUAGCUUGAUUCCUUGCGGAUCGGCUCCCGAUGUGAUAAUUGUCUACGUCGUGACCGUGAAGCGUUUGGCUGGCUUAUAACCGUCCUUUCAGGACACUUUCUUGACAUCUGGCCUCAAAUCAGGUAGGACUACCCGCUGAACUUAAGCAUAU